UUUAUAACGGAUGCUGUUAUUGGUGUUGUGGGUGUGUUAUAAACAACAGAGAGCGUCAUUUAGUGUCACUGCACGUGUGUUAAUCUGUUAUUAUCAUGUAUCUGAAAUCCUCGACACAUUUAAUGCUCUUUAUUUGACUGAAAGUUUGUUUUGUGUGACCCCGCUCAUGUUCGCGUGACGUCAUAAACUCGGCGGCAUCAGGCACGAGCUGUUUAAGUGGCGACUUUGUGUCAUUUUUUCCUACUGAUGAACGCAGGUGUAUUUAUCAGUGUGUCAAGUUUACUGCACAGUUUCCGUCCUGUGCUCCAGACACGAACGAUUACUCAUACUGUUCCUGUUUGUUGCUGAGGGGUGCUGCUAUUUAAAAUGACCAGGCUUAUGGUUUUCACCUGCUGGACCAUGAAUCCGGUGAAAAGUCCCUCAGGCGCACAUCAAACGAGGGACCUGGACACAUCUACAGACCAGAAUAUGACAGAGUCUAUAUUAUAUCAGACAUGUGGGCUCUUUGGACCAGUAAACAACCAACCAACCACCCACUCACUAAGAGCACACUAGGUGGUGUUACAGAGCUGAAACUGGAGCAGGAGUGAAUAUCUUGAGUCCACAUAGCCUAUUUGUGUCUGAACUACCAUUAUCAUUGGAAACUCAAGAUGCUGAAGAUCACGACUGCAGCUAAAAUCAACAGAGAUCCCAGCAGCAGCAGAGAUCAACACUAUCAGAGAGACUGAAUCUGGAGGAUAUGAAGGACAGUGAAAGAGAUGUAAUAGUUUGCUGAUGUCCAGAUGUGUGGUCUGGUUGCUGAUGGGAUUGUUGAUCACACAGCUGUAGGUGUUUUUAUCCUGAUAUUCCACCUCCAGAGGUAGAGAGAGACUGAUGCUGAGAUCAGACACACUGAUGCUGGACAAUAAACUGUUUCCUUUGUACCAGGAGAGACUCACAUCACUCACAUUCACCACUGAACACAACAAUGAACAUGAUGAUGAUGAAGAACAGUUUGAAGAGUUACUGCUGAUGACAGGAACAGGCAGAUGAGCUGAAAAUAUGAAACAAUAAGAGGAAUAUGAACACAACAAUUGGCUUAUUUUCAGUGUUGUGAAUUGUAGUAAAUAAUCAGUGUAAUAGAUUUAGUGUUGAGUGAGUGUUUAGUGUUUUAACAGUCCUCCUUAAAUGUUCUUUGUUCUCGUUCUCAUAUAUGUUCUUGUGUCAUAUAUGUAUAUAUUUGUGUACUGUAUGAAUGUACCAAGAGCUC